GUGCCCUAGUUUCUCUCAGACUGAGUCUGGCGGUUACAAGCUAAGACAUGUUUUCCCGUCUUCGCAAGCGUUUUGGGAGGGGGAACGUCGAUUCUGGAGAGACUAGAGUGAAGGAGUCUGGCCUUUCGUCUCAAAGUAAUGAUGGGCAAAGACAGCACUUCUGGGGAAUGUGCAACGCUGGGAGAGAAACAUCUUCCCCUGAAACUGCCCUAAGCGAGAAGCAGGCCAAGAAGGAAAAGGAGAGGCUGAUUAAAGAGCUGCAGCUCAUUACCGAGGAGAGAAAUGACCUGAGAUAUCGCCUGAGGUUUCUGACAGAGAGAUCCAAGAACAACAGGCCACACUUCAGGCCAAAUCCGUAUUACGAAGACCUGGAGAGAAUGGAGGAGGUGGUCAUGUCAAUUCUGCACAACUUAGAGAUGGAGAACACUGAGAUCCAUGAGAACAGCCAUAAGCUGAAGAAGGAGAUUACCUUCUCUAGGUAAGUCCUGGUCAGAAAGGCUAUCACCUGUGGAAUGGCCAUUUCUGAUUUCUUUGUUAUGGAUUGGAAGGUCUUCAGCUAUGAUUCUAUCUCUUGUGCUGUUUACACAUCAGUGUGCCAGGGUCAUUAGGACUCAGUUUUCAGUUCCAUAAAAGACUGUUACUCAUCCCAGGAUUGUCUAGGCAUCUUCAGAAGGCUCCAGAUAGAACAGUAGUGAUUGAAGUCAGCAGAAGGUUAUUAGGCUGACCUGGACCUAUGGUGUCAUACCAGGUUUUACAAAACUUAGUGCGUGGACCACAUGGUUAGCAUGACCUUCUCUUGGUUCUACUGACCUGCUUUGAGGGUGUUUGCCAACUACUAAUUGAUGUUGCCCCCAUGCAUUGGGCUUUCAUGGAUAGUUGUAGAUCCAUGUUCUUUUUGAGAGAUGCGGACACUAAUUGGUGCUCGGCCCAAACAAACAAUUUAUUCUUCCUGGAAUUAACUCUUUGUGGUUUGUGCAGCAGCCUUAUAUGUAUCGAGAUGUAUUUUAUUAACUCUUCAGGGGUACCUGGAACCUGGUAUGGUUAGUGGGACUUGGGAGUAGGAAUGGGAGAAAGGGACAGCAUGAUCUUACUAUGCAGACUGUAUUUCCAGAAACCUGCUCAGCCAGCUCCUGAUGGAGAACACAUGUAGGAAGAAGUUGGUCCCACAGAAGCAGGGGAGCAAGGAGGGACAUCUUGAUUGUGCACUGAACCAGAAAUAUUUGGUUGACUUCAACAAGAAAGAUAAAGACCAGCAACGUCCAGAUCCAGCAUCAUCAGGUCUCAGAAAGUGCAAGAGAGCUGGAAUUGGACACACACCAGUAAGAGAGCUUCCUGAGGAAUAAGUUGCUUUCUCAGGAGUCCCUGAUGACAAACAUCCUGAACGGUAACAACAUUUUUUGGAUGAGUAUUCUUCCUCAGAGUUAAUUUGUCAUUUCUUAGAGACCCUAAAUUUAUAUAACACUAAGCCAGCCUGACUGAUUGAGGUCUUACUCACUUUCUUCUUCAGAAAACACCACUUGAGAGACAACUUGGGGGACCGCCUUUCAUUAUGUGUGCUAGAGGAGAAACAGCAAUACAUCUGUGCUUCUAAAUGUUCGUUAAGAAUAUGCUGUUUAGAAAUAUUUUUGUUAUGAUUUUAAUUGAAGUUUUCUUUUUGUUGUUUCAUAUUUAUAUGUUCUUGUUACUGUUUUUCACUUUCCAAUAUUUUUAAAUAUUUUUAUUCAUUCAUUUUAAUCCUGUUUUGUUGUAAAAAUGUAUUCAUUAUGAAUAAAUAUUGAUUUUUAUCUCUUGACUCUUAAGACCAUCAUUCUUAUUCAUGGGUUCUGUCCCCUCCUGAGGGCUUAGAACUGACAGCUAGAGAUGGAUCUCUGCCUGUUCCAUGGAGCCUGGGCUAAUUAGUGAAUUCAAAGUCACCAAGGGGUACCCAGUGUCACAGUGUCUUUUUUGAGGAGAAUGUGGCUUUUUCUCGGCACACACUUUAUGAUGUAAUCACUGA